GAGAGGGCUAGGGAUACACGGCUGGAUUCGGGAGGGCGGUGGCGGGGGGGGGGGCACAUAUCCUCCCCGGUGGCAACGACGACGACGGGUUCGGCGGUGGCCGACAGGACACGAGGCCGUUGCUCAAUUUCCGAACAUUCGUAGCACCGAAGCUUUUCAAGCACCCUCAAAACACUCUCAACUCAGCCGAAGAGUUCCAUAAACUGCUGAGAAGCUCGUAGAAGAUGACAAUUGGAACAGGAGCUCGCUAGCUUAGUUUCAAUUUUUUUUUAUUUUGUGAGUCCAUGUGUCCAAAACAUCCAUUUAUGUAACUGAAAACAGCAAGUAUCAUGCCGGAGCUAUCUAGAUGUUUUUUGUUGAACUCAAGAUUGGAGCAUCUAUCAUGCUGGGCAUGUCCCUUUUUCCUUUUUUUUUAGUUUGUUUUGAAAUGCUGGAGCAUUAUCCAUGCUGACCCAUGUGAAUGUGAACUAGAGAUUGAUGGAGAGUUGGUAAUGAAAAUGACCGGCCUUUUUUGCAGCUUGGUA